UACGUAGGUGACAAGCGUUGUCCGGAUUUACUGGGCGUAAAGAGCGCGCAGGCGGUCGUAUAAGUCGAAUGUGAAAGCCCCCGGCUCAACUGGGGAGGGUCAUUCGAUACUGUUCGACUCGAAGGCAGGAGAGGGAAGUGGAAUUCCGGGUGUAGUGGUGAAAUGCGUAGAUAUCCGGAGGAACACCAGUGGCGAAGGCGGUUGCCUGGAGCUUUGCUGACGCUGAGGCGCGAAAGCGUGGGGAGCGAUCCGG
rnacentral:rRNA from 1 species